AUAAAUAUUUUGAGAAAACUUAGCUGCCUUAACUUAAUCAAAGUUUUCCUUUUUUUAUUUUUAAAGAAAUGGAGCCCUUUAGUCAAAAGAAAUAUUUUGUGGAGUUCCAAAGUGUAAACAGAUGAAAGACAAGCCAUUCUGGUUCGAUACAGGAACUUCCACGUAUUCGUUUAUUAGACGAUUCUUGUGCAUCAGCUACUACCAGGCAGGCACCAUAGAUGGCAAUGACAACACAGUUUCUGCCUUAAAGAAGCUUAUCAUCUGUGGAGGAAAUGAACAAGUAAACCAAUAAAGAAAGAAGAAAACGAAACAUUCUAAAAAUAACCCACUGAUGUUUAAUGAAGAUGCCUGUGGAGAGAGGCUCAGGAGUAGGGGUAAGAAGACUUUUUCUAUCAAGGGGCAGACAGUAAAUAUUUUCAGCUUUGCCGGCCAUGUGGCCUUUGUGACUGUUAUAA